GGCAUUUCUCUCUUGACACUUGUCCACCUACGCCACUAGGGUUACCGUGGUGCAGGUGGACACCACAGUUCAGAGCUGGUGUGGGGGCUGGGUAUUCAUGGAACAGAUGGCGUUACUGAGGGAAUCUGACCCCGCCUCCAGUGAGGUGAGCACUCUUCUCCAACUAUCCAGGCUCUCUAACCUCUCUGCAACGCUGCUGCACACCACACCCUCCUGGGACCAUGGAGGAAGGGCUGUGAGGGUUCACUCCAGGCACUACAUAAAGGCAGCACAAAUCCCACAUCUGGAGAGAAACCUCAGCUGUGGGGUCCAUACCACUGCAGAUCAUAUCCCAAGCCUAAGAAUGGAGGAGGUGGGGAAGAAGCCAUGCUCAUGUCAGAGACUGGAGAGCAGUUUUUCUUCAUCAAACAUCAUCAGUACUGGGGCUGGAACCCAUUCGAGCUGACUCAAUCUCAUCAUAGAAUGGCUAGACGGGCACCAUUAACAUUUGCGUUUCACAGACAAAGCAGGAAGGAUUUGGAAGCAUGCCACAUAGUUACAAAGGUUACAACUUCGAGGAACUGGGAUUUGAACCUGUGCUAGCAGGCUAGUUUUUAUGUCAACUUAACACAAGCUAGAGUCAUCUGAAAGGUGGAGGCUCAAUGGAGCCUCUGUAAGACUGGGCUGUAGGCAAGCCUGUAGGGCAUUUUCUUAAUUAGUGAUUGAUGUGGGAGGGCUCAGCCCAUUGUGGGUGGAGCCACAUCUGGGCAGAUGGUCCUGGGUUCUAUAAGAAAGCAAGCUGAGCAAUCCUUUAAAGGAGUAAGCCUGUAAACAGCCGUCCACCAUGGCCUCUGCACCAGCUCCUGCCUUCAGAUUCCUGCCCUGUUUGAGUCCCUGCUGACUGCCUUUGACGAGGAACUGUAAUGUAGAAGUGUAAGCCAAAUAAACCCUUCCCAGUUGC